rnacentral:rRNA from 1 species
GAUGAACGCUGGCGGCGUGCCUAAUACAUGCAAGUCGAGCGAACGGACGAGAAGCUUGCUUCUCUGAUGUUAGCGGCGGACGGGUGAGUAACACGUGGAUAACCUACCUAUAAGACUGGGAUAACUUCGGGAAACCGUAGCUAAUACCGGAUAAUAUUUUGAACCGCAUGGUUCAAAAGUGAAAGACGGUCUUGCUGUCACUUAUAGAUGGAUCCGCGCUGCAUUAGCUAGUUGGUAAGGUAACGGCUUACCAAGGCAACGAUGCAUAGCCGACCUGAAAGGGUGAGCGGCCACACUGGAACUGAGACACGGUCCAGACUCCUACGGGAGGAAGCAGUAGGGAAUCUUACGCAAUGGGCGAAAGCCUGACGGAGCAACGCCGCGUGAGUGAUGAAGGUCUUCGGAUCGUAAAACUCUGUUAUUAGGGAAGAACAUAUGUGUAAGUAACUGUGCACAUCUUGACGGUACCUAAUCAGAAAGCCACGGCUAACUACGUG